UACGGAGGGUGCAAGCGUUAUCCGGAUUCACUGGGUUUAAAGGGUGCGUAGGAGGGCAGGUAAGUCAGUGGUGAAAUCUUCGAGCUUAACUCGGAGACUGCCGUUGAUACUAUCUGUCUUGAAUACCGUGGAGAUGAGCGGAAUAUGUCAUGUAGCGGUGAAAUGCUUAGAUAUGACAUAGAACACCAAUUGCGAAGGCAGCUCGUUACACGAAUAUUGACUCUGAGGCACGAAAGCGUGGGGAUCAAACAGG
rnacentral:rRNA from 1 species